UGUCCUGUAGUUGAAUUAAGUGGAACAAUAUUAAAUUGCAAAUUUAAAGGUGCAUGUAAGGUGAUGUGUGUCAGGACUU
rnacentral:tRNA from 1 species